AGCGCAGUUCGGGUCAUGAGCAACGGUGGAUUUGGUGAGAGCAAGAGGCCAUCGUUUUCUCCUCCUUCUCCAAUAGCCAAUGGCCACCCGUCAAAUAAGCGACAUAAAAUUUCUUCGAGCCCUCCACCACCAUCCUCGUUUUUGCCACUCUCUUUGGUAUCGCCUCCGGCCAAAACUCCAGUCAACUUGUUGCCACCGCUUCCUCCACCAAGCACGCCUUAUCCGCAAUCUUCUGCACCCUGAGAAUUUUUAUUGAUGAAUCCCAAGUGGAUGUUGUAUAAGUAGCAUGCUUUAGGUUCUGUCUAGGAUUCUGGGAUGGUAAUUAAGUUGGUG
rnacentral:lncRNA from 1 species